rnacentral:lncRNA from 1 species
AAUGCAUCCAUAAACCCUUUAAAAUUUUCUGAUCGAGCCUCCUUUACUAAGAUGAGCAAAUAUGAGGCGAUCAACCUCCGAGGUAGAUAUCUCUUCGCUUGGGUUAGCCAUCAUAGUGAUCGAUUUGAGCUGAAGAUCUUCCCACAAAAGAAGCAGUUUGAUCCCUCUGUCUCAAAUCUGUAUGUAGCCUUAGCAAUCCCAUCACAUGAUGUUCUUAAAAUUAUUAUACCACAUCAACAGUUUGUUAUAGUACAAUCUUGAGUUUGUUGAGAUACAAUUCAUUAGA